AAGUGCCACACCAAGCUCACAGUGUAGAUGCGGAAACUAGAUCUCACAACAGCUGCUUUAUUUGGUAAGUGAUCUCAAGGAAUAGGAGAGGGGAGGUGGAAAAGUGACACUGGACUGGAAGGAAAGCCAAAUCAAGGGUGGGUUAUAAAGCUGACCACCACUAUGGGUAACUGAGGUGUUCUUUCUAGAAAUCCUUCCAAAGAGCCAUGUAGAAUGAACCUCAUCAUUAUCUGCCUGAGGGAGAUAAGAUGGAAGGAUUUAUCCACGGCUUCCCUCCCCGCUGGUCAAGGGUGUUCAGUUCCUCCUAUUUCCAGGUUUGCAUAUUUGACAGAAGGGCUAAGAAGGCUGCUGCCGGUGUCCCACUGACUACAGCAGAGAAGCCUCAGGGCAGAAAACAGCUUGACAGAGCAGCUGGAGUGAGCUGCUGGAACGUAACUGAAGUGAAAAGGAGGAGGCGAGAGGAUUACUGAAUGAGUCCGGCUCUUUAAAUUACGCUUACUGAACUCUGUGAUUGCCAAGGACAGCAACUAGGACUGGAAGAAACUGUCGGUCGAGAUAAGUGGUAGAAGAGCUCUCUCAUGGUCCCACCCAGACUCUUCCUCAUCUUCCAAUGUGCAGUGGAGACUCAAACCACACCAUGACCCCGUUAGCAGCACAGGGAGGUUCCAGAAUGAUCCUCUUCAGUGAUAAAGAGGGGAUGCAUCUGAGGUAUCAUCGAAACUGUCUUCCCCUAAACAAAACUAGAAAUAGAAUCUAGCAAAAUAAUCUUUUCAGUUUAACAAAUUUAAUUUUUCUAUAGCUGCCUCUGAGUUAGGCAACUAGCUCUAAAAUACGACGUGAUGCAAUAAAAUGCAAUAUGGCUUGCUAA